GCCCUUCCAGGACAUCUGAUAAAAUUGGAACGAUACGAGAAGAUUAGCAUGGCCACUGCCCAAGGAUGAAAUGCACAAAUCGUCGAGAAAUGGUCCAAAUUUUU